GACGAACGCUGGCGGCGUGCUUAACACAUGCAAGUCGAACGAUGAAGCUGGAGCUUGCUCCGGUGGAUUAGUGGCGAACGGGUGAGUAACACGUGAGCAAUCUGCCCUUGACUCUGGGAUAACUGCGGGAAACUGUAGCUAAUACCGGAUAUGAGGCUUGGAGGCAUCUCCAGGUCUGGAAAGAAUUUCGGUCAAGGAUGAGCUCGCGGCCUAUCAGCUAGUUGGUGAGGUAAUGGCUCACCAAGGCGACGACGGGUAGCCGGCCUGAGAGGGGGGCCGGCCACACUGGGACUGAGACACGGCCCAGACUCCUACGGGAGGCAGCAGUGGGGAAUAUUGCACAAUGGGCGAAAGCCUGAUGCAGCAGCGCCGCGUGAGGGAUGAAGGCCUUCGGGUUGUAAACCUCUUUUAGCAGGGAAGGAGCGAAAGUGACGGUACCUGCAGAAAAAGCACCGGCUAACUACGUGCCAGCAGCCGCCGUAA
rnacentral:rRNA from 1 species